rnacentral:lncRNA from 1 species
CAAACUAAAAAUUCAACCCGGGUCUUACGCUCGUUCUGAUCCGCUCCUGAUGGGACUGAUCUCUAGCGGAAAAGCAGGUCGAUAGAGGGAGCAGGGAGGCUCUUUGGUGGCGGCCAGCCAGCAGUGCAGACGCGUUUUGGGCGUGGGUUUGCAUGUGGUACAAUGAAAGGCCACGGGCAUGCAACUAAGAUGAUCUCCGGGCCUCAUUAGGGUGAUGGCGGUGACCACCAUGAGGCGAACGUCAGAGAAGACAUAACCGGCAACAAGGUAAAAGUUGCAUCAUGGGAAUGCUUACUACAAUACCGGCCUAGAGAAGAAUAAUUCACAUUAAUUUGCACCAACACCUACUUACAAUGCCAAAAGUAAUUUAUUCUUUUUGAAAGAGAUAGUAAUUUAGUCACAAUUUUGCCGGUUAUAACUUGUUGUAAAUUAAUAAGUAUGUCUUGCAUUUGUGUUAUAUGGAUGAUUAAAACUUGUAGUGACUAGAAGUGCAUUUGUGUCUUUGUAUUGCGUAUGUAUCGUGUUUUGUAGAAUCAAUUCGAGAUUGCAUAUAGUGAAGCAUAAUGCUUUGUGUUCAGUAGUGCAUGCGUGCAUUCUUAUGGUUAAUAGUUUGUAAACAACACUUAUGAAUAUGUACUGUGUUUUGUAAAAAGAAAACUCAAAAUUGCCUAAGAUUCAUAAUGCUUUGUGAAAUAAAUUUGUAUGCAACAAUUUGCUUAAUUGCUUAGAUCUUUUUGAACCAGAAAGGUUUAAAUGCCAUGCACAAACCUCCACUUGCAUUGCCUCAACUGCAAAUUUCUCUUGAGCGCAAUCUUGUAAUUGUCGUGAAAUAAAAAACAUUGUUUGUUUUCUUUCAGUCUCGAUUUGGUUUUCUGUCAUAUAUAUAUCCUUGGCAGUCCGGCAUCUACAUAGUCCACGUUUUAGCUGUAAUUUUGUACGCUUUGUCUUCAUAUAUAGUGAACUCCUAGUUUCCUGCCCUGUUUCACAACUAUAGGACGCCAGGCAACCACAUCACAGAUUCACAGGUAGGGUUUGUAACUGCUUUUCUUGAUAUCCUACUUAUUCGAUAUGCAGCUGACACCACAGAGAAAUGCUGAGAGAUUGGCAUUGGAGGCAUUGGGAAUCAGUGAAUAGUAGAAUAACAAAUGUCUUUCACCCCCUGAACACCUUCACUUUGGAAACUUGGAAAAUGGCCUAGUGCAAUUGCAAAUGCCAGGGUAUGUAUUGGAAAAUUGGCACAAGCCUGACGGUCAUGGAUUGAACACUGAUGGCCGCUUUAUUUCUGAGCCUUUCAACUAAAUGCCAGGGUAUAUAUAGUGGAAUUUAUAAGUUUUCUGGGCUAAGAGGAUCAGUGCAAGUACUUUUCAGUUUUGUUGUAAGAGGUCUGGAUUAUAACUUAUCUUUCGUGUGAUAACAUCAUCACUUUCUUUCCUAUUUCCUAGUGCCUCAUCUACCGUCCUUUGCCAUUACAGUAUUGAAAAUCGUUAAGGGCAUGAAGCCAUGAGACCGCAUUAGCUCGAGUAGAAAAUUGGACCCAUGUUAUUCAAUUAGAUCCCUGGUCAUAGUCUUCUACCCUUCGUAUGGUUACAUUUAAGCAUCAAGAAAUCAAGGGUAACUCUUUGCAUUACAAAGAAAAUCAGAAAUUAGAACACUUUAAAAAUUGGCUGCUAUCAAAUUUGGUCGCUAUCUAUAAAAGGUAUGUGAUUGAGUUAGCACAUAAUUAAAAUAUGGCUUCAAGCAUCACGUAUAUUUGUCCGUUUCGGUUUGGGUUCUUAUUAUUGUGCAUUUGAGCUUAACUAAAUUUUAUAUUUCCCUGUUUAAAUUUAAACUUUAACUUUCAUUAAUUAAACCUUAAUCGUAUAUUUCAUCCCCACUUUAAUCCUUUUCUGAAGAAUUUUUUCAAGUUACGCAUCAAUUUAACUCCAUGCUCAUAUCUUAA